rnacentral:rRNA from 1 species
CACGUGGGAACGUGCCUUUAGGUUCGGAACAACACAGGGAAACUUGUGCUAAUACCGGAUGUGCCCUUCGGGGGAAAGAUUUAUCGCCUUUAGAGCGGCCCGCGUCUGAUUAGCUAGUUGGUGAGGUAAAGGCUCACCAAGGCGACGAUCAGUAGCUGGUCUGAGAGGAUGGCCAGCCACAUUGGGACUGAGACACGGCCCAAACUCCUACGGGAGGCAGCAGUGGGGAAUCUUGCGCAAUGGGCGAAAGCCUGACGCAGCCAUGCCGCGUGGAUGAUGAAGGUCUUAGGAUUGUAAAAU